AUUGAACGCUGGCGGCAUGCCUUACACAUGCAAGUCGAAUGGUAACAGGUCUUCGGAUGCUGACGAGUGGCGAACGGGUGAGUAAUACAUCGGAACGUGCCUAGUAGUGGGGGAUAACUACUCGAAAGAGUGGCUAAUACCGCAUGAGAUCUACGGAUGAAAGCAGGGGAUCGCAAGACCUUGUGCUACUAGAGCGGCCGAUGGCAGAUUAGGUAGUUGGUGGGAUAAAAGCUUACCAAGCCGACGAGCUGUAGCUGGUCUGAGAGGACGAUCAGCCACACUGGGAAUGAGACACGGCCCAGACUCCUACGGGAGGCAGCAGUGGGGAAUUUUGGACAAUGGGCGAAAGCCUGAUCCAGCAAUGCCGCGUGCAGGAUGAAGGCCUUCGGGUUGUAAACUGCUUUUGUACGGAACGAAAAGCCCCGGGUUAAUACCCUGGGGUCAUGACGGUACCGUAAGAAUAAGCACCGGCUAACUACGUGCCAGCCGCCGCCGUAA
rnacentral:rRNA from 1 species